rnacentral:rRNA from 1 species
GAUGAACGCUGGCGGCGUGCCUAAUACAUGCAAGUCAAGCGAACAGACGAGGAGCUUGCUCCUUUGACGUUAGCGGCGGACGGGUGAGUAACACGUGGGUAACCUACCUAUAAGACUGGGAUAACUUCGGGAAACCGGAGCUAAUACCGGAUAAUAUUUCGAACCGCAUGGUUCGAUAGUGAAAGAUGGCUUUGCUAUCACUUAUAGAUGGACCUGCGCCGUAUUAGCUAGUUGGUAAGGUAACGGCUUACCAAGGCAACGAUACGUAGCCGACCUGAGAGGGUGAUCGGCCACACUGGAACUGAGACACGGUCCAGACUCCUACGGGAGGCAGCAGUAGGGAAUCUUCCGCAAUGGGCGAAAGCCUGACGGAGCAACGCCGCGUGAGUGAUGAAGGUCUUCGGAUCGUAAAACUCUGUUAUUAGGGAAGAACAAACGUGUAAGUAACUGUGCACGUCUUGACGGUACCUAAUCAGAAAGCCACGGCUAACUACGUG